rnacentral:tRNA from 1 species
GCCUGACCAGCUCAGUCGGUGAAGCAUGGGACUCUUGAUCCCAGGGCCAUGAGUUCGAGCCCCAUGUAUGGUA